CCUGUUCGAGCGUCAUUGCAACCCUCAAGCACUGCUUGGUAUUGGAUGCCACCCUUUGUGGUGUCUCAAAAGUAUAAGCGGUAGCAUCUAGCUUCUAGCGUAGUAAUUUUCUCGCUCUGGAGUUUAAAUGUUUAACUGUUAGAACCCCUAAUUUUUCAAUGGUUGACCUCGGAUCAGGUAGGGAUACCCGCUGAACUUAA
rnacentral:misc_RNA from 1 species